UGUGUAGGCGGUUGUUUAAGUUUGGUGUGAAAUCUCCCGGCUUAACCGGGAGGGUGCGCCGAAUACUGAAUGACUUGGAGUGCGGGAGAGGAAAGUGGAAUUCCUGGUGUAGCGGUGAAAUGCGUAGAUAUCAGGAGGAACACCGGUGGUGUAGACGGCUUUCUGGACCGUAACUGACGCUGAGACACGAAAGCGUGGGUAGAAC
rnacentral:rRNA from 1 species